rnacentral:rRNA from 1 species
AACGAACGCUGGCGGCAUGCCUAACACAUGCAAGUCGAACGAGACCUUCGGGUCUAGUGGCGCACGGGUGCGUAACGCGUGGGAACCUGCCCUUAUGGUCGGAAUAACUCCCCGAAAGGGGUGCUAAUACCGGAUAAUGUCUUCGGACCAAAGAUUUAUCGCCUUUGGAUGGGCCCGCGUUGGAUUAGCUAGUUGGUAGGGUAAAAGCCUACCAAGGCGACGAUCCAUAGCUGGUCUGAGAGGAUGAUCAGCCACACUGGGACUGAGACACGGCCCAGACUCCUACGGGAGGCAGCAGUGGGGAAUAUUGGACAAUGGGCGAAAGCCUGAUCCAGCAAUGCCGCGUGAGUGAUGAAGGCAUUAGGGUUGUAAAGCUCUUUUAACCGGGAUGAUAAUGACAGUACCGGGAGAAUAAGCUCCGGCUAACUCCGUG